rnacentral:lncRNA from 1 species
AUGUGGAUGAUGUUAACAAAAUGGAUUCUGAGGAUGAUGAUGGUGGUGGUGAUAGUAGUAGUGGUGAUGGUGAUUAUGACAGUGAUGGCAGCGGUGGUAAUGGUGGUAAAAGGAAAAAAAAAAAAAAAAAAAAAAAAAAAAAAAAAAAAAAAAGAAAAAAAACCAGAUGAAAUACAAAAAUUUGAAUUUAUAAAAAGUAUAUGUGAAUAUUUAAAUUUUACAUAUUUACUCGGAACAAUUUCGGUUAUACAUUCACUUCAAAAUAACAAUAAAACUUAUAUUAAUAAAAAUGAAAUAUAUUUUGGUAAUGAUAAAGUACUUAAUUAUAUAUAUGAAAAAAUAAAUUUAUGGAAUAAUAAAAGAGAUAAAAAACAUGAUGAAAGUUGUUUUACUAUAAAAAUGGGUAAUCUAAUUUCUUUAUAUAAUUGUUAUGUACAAGAAAAAGACAGUUCUAUUAAUGAUAAUAAUAACUUAAACAAAUCAAAGGAAGUUAUUCAAAAUGAGUCAAACAAUCAAACAGACAUAAGUAAUAACAUAAAUAAUAACAUAACUAAUGAUAAAAUUUAUCCAUUUAUUAUAAACAUAUGUAUAGCACUAAAAGGUGUAGAAGAGGAGGGAAAUGAAGAGGAGGGAAAAAAUAAACAAAUUUUAUGGAAAGGAAGUGAUAUACAAAAAGAUUGGUUAAAAGUAAUGUUAAAAUUAUUUUAUAAUAUAAUAUUUGAUAGUGCUUAUAACACCUUAGGAAAUUUAUUUAAAGAGUAUACAAAUAUAAAAGACAUUUUAAAAAUUAAAACUCCUGAUUUUUUGAGUGAAUAUCCUCCAACUAUAAAUAGCGAAACAGUUACAACCGAAGCAGCUACUACCAAACCAUAUAACAUACAACAGAUGCAUAAUGAACUAAGUCCCAAUAAAAUAAAAAAAGAAAAUCUCAACAAUUUAAACAUAUCACAAGACAUUGAUAAAAUAAAACAAAAUAAUAACAACGAUGAAACGAAUAGUACUGUAAGUAGCAUAAAUAUAACAAAUGGAAUUUCUCAAAAAAGAAAUUUCAAUCAAAUUAUGCCUGAACAUAAAGAAGAUUAUAUGAAAUAUUUUAAAAAAAGAAAACUUGAAAAUUCGUACAUAAAUACUUAUAAAAAAAAUAGAAAUAAUAUUAUUAAAUCUUUAUUGGAGAAUAAAAAUGUUGUACAGUAUAAUGAGAGUGAUAUUAUUAACCAGGUCAAGCAGGUGUUUAUCAAGGCUCGACAAAUGGCGACAAGCGGGGACUUAAGAACUAGGUGGAAAUCUAGAGGCGACGUGAAAAAAAUCUUACUACUAUGAACCAUAAACCAAACUUAAACCAAACUUAAACCAAACUUAAAGUAAUAUGGAACAUACAUAUAUGCACAUAUUGCAUAUUUUAAUUAUA